rnacentral:rRNA from 1 species
GACGAACGCUGGCGGCGUGCUUAACACAUGCAAGUCGAACGGAAAGGCCCUGCUUUUGUGGGGUGCUCGAGUGGCGAACGGGUGAGUAACACGUGAGUAACCUGCCCUUGACUUUGGGAUAACUUCAGGAAACUGGGGCUAAUACCGGAUAGGAGCUCCUGCUGCAUGGUGGGGGUUGGAAAGUUUCGGCGGUUGGGGAUGGACUCGCGGCUUAUCAGCUUGUUGGUGGGGUAGUGGCUUACCAAGGCUUUGACGGGUAGCCGGCCUGAGAGGGUGACCGGCCACAUUGGGACUAAGAGAGGGCCCAGACUCCUACGGGAGGCAGCAGUGGGGAAUAUUGCACAAUGGGCGGAAGCCUGAUGCAGCAACGCCGCGUGCGGGAUGACGGCCUUCGGGUUGUAAACCGCUUUCGCCUGUGACGAAGCGUGAGUGACGGUAAUGGGUAAAGAAGCACCGGCUAACUACGUG